GACGAACGCUGGCGGCGUGCCUAAUACAUGCAAGUAGAACGCUGAAGAGAGGAGCUUGCUCUUCUUGGAUGAGUUGCGAACGGGUGAGUAACGCGUAGGUAACCUGCCUUGUAGCGGGGGAUAACUAUUGGAAACGAUAGCUAAUACCGCAUAACAAUGGAUGACACAUGUCAUUUAUUUGAAAGGGGCAAUUGCUCCACUACAAGAUGGACCUGCGUUGUAUUAGCUAGUAGGUGAGGUAACGGCUCACCUAGGCGACGAUACAUAGCCGACCUGAGAGGGUGAUCGGCCACACUGGGACUGAGACACGGCCCAGACUCCUACGGGAGGCAGCAGUAGGGAAUCUUCGGCAAUGGGGGCAACCCUGACCGAGCAACGCCGCGUGAGUGAAGAAGGUUUUCGGAUCGUAAAGCUCUGUUGUAAGUCAAGAACGAGUGUGAGAGUGGAAAGUUCACACUGUGACGGUAGCUUACCAGAAAGGGACGGCUAACUACGUGCCAGCAGCCGCGGUAAUACGUAGGUCCCGAGCGUUGUCCGGAUUUAUUGGGCGUAAAGCGAGCGCAGGCGGUUUGAUAAGUCUGAAGUUAAAGGCUGUGGCUCAACCAUAGUUCGCUUUGGAAACUGUCAAACUUGAGUGCAGAAGGGGAGAGUGGAAUUCCAUGUGUAGCGGUGAAAUGCGUAGAUAUAUGGAGGAACACCGGUGGCGAAAGCGGCUCUCUGGUCUGUAACUGACGCUGAGGCUCGAAAGCGUGGGGAGCGAGCAGG
rnacentral:rRNA from 1 species